rnacentral:lncRNA from 1 species
UUAGAUUGCAUAAAAUCUUUAAAACCCUCACUAGACCUAAAAUUCUACUUUCUGAGACCUUAACUCACUUAAACCUCAAUAUCUCUCAAUUCAACCGUUAGAUCAAGUUCAAAUUUACAACAUGUAUUCAGCACAACUAUAACCAUGAACCCAAAAAAAUUCACCCAUAGAUCUGCAACAAAACUCUCGAAAUCACUCAAAACA